rnacentral:rRNA from 1 species
AACGAACGCUGGCGGCAGGCCUAACACAUGCAAGUCGAACGCUCCGCAAGGGGAGUGGCAGACGGGUGAGUAACACGUGGGAAUCUUCCUAUUGGUACGGAAUAGCUCAGGGAAACUUGGGGUAAUACCGUAUAAGCCCGUGAGGGGAAAGAUUUAUCGCCGAUAGAUGAGCCCGCGUCUGAUUAGCUAGUUGGUGAGGUAACGGCUCACCAAGGCGACGAUCAGUAGCUGGUCUGAGAGGAUGACCAGCCACACUGGGACUGAGACACGGCCCAGACUCCUACGGGAGGCAGCAGUGGGUAAUAUUGGACAAUGGGCGCAAGCCUUAUCCAGCCAUGCCGCGUGAGUGACGAAUGUCUUCGGAUUGUAAAGCUCUUUUGCCAGGGACGAUAAUGACGGUACCUGGAGAAUAAGCCCCGGCUAACUUCGUGCCAGCAGCCGCCGUAAAAC